GAUGAACGCUGGCGGCGCGCCUAACACAUGCAAGUCGAACGAUUAAAGCACCUUCGGGUGGGUAUAAAGUGGCGAACGGCUGAGUAACACGUGGGCAACCUGCCCCUCUCAUUGGGAUAGCCACGGGAAACCGUGGCUAAUACCGAAUACUUCGGGACUUCCGCAUGGAGGACUCGGGAAAGCUCCGGCGGAGGGGGAUGGGCCCGCGGCCUGUUAGCUUGUUGGUGGGGUAAUGGCCAACCAAGGCAAUGAUGGGUAGCUGGGUUGAGAGACCGACCAGCCAGAUUGGGACUGAGACACGGCCCAGACCCCUACGGGAGGAAGCAGUGGGGAAUCUUGAACAAUGGGCGAAAGCCUGAUGCAGCGACGCCGCGUGCGGGAUGAAGGCCUUCGGGUUGUAACCCGCUUUCAGCAGGGACGAGGCGAAAGUGACGGUACCUGCAGAAGAAGCCCCGGCUAACUACGUG
rnacentral:rRNA from 1 species